rnacentral:rRNA from 1 species
UACGUAGGAUGCAAGCGUUGUCCGGAUUUAUUGGGCGUAAAGGGCGUGCAGGCGGCCCCUCAAGUUAGUUGUGAAAUUCCAGGGCUUAACCCCGGAGGGUCAACUAAAACUGAGGAGCUAGAGUGCAGAAGAGGAAAGCGGAAUUCCCGGUGUAGUGGUGAAAUGCGUAGAUAUCGGGAGGAACACCAGAGGCGAAAGCGGCUUUCUGGUCUGCAACUGACGCUGAGGCGCGAAGGCUAGGGGAGCAAACAGGAUUAGAAACCCGGUAGUCC